GGGGUGACUAGUGACAGAGUGAGGGAAGGGGUGACUAGUGGCAGAGUGAGGGAAGGGGUGACUAGUGGCAGAGUGAGGGAAGGAAGGAGUGACUAGUGACAGAGUGAGGGAGGUGGUGACUGUCACUAGUCACCACCUCCCUCUGUCACUACUCCCUCCCUCCUUCUGUCACUAGUCACGCCCUCCCUCACUCUGUCACAUGUCAUCCCCUCCCUCACUCUGUCACCAGUCAUCCCCUUCCCUCACUCUGUCACUAGUCACCCCC